rnacentral:lncRNA from 1 species
UAAAAAUAUUUUUUAAAUAAAAUAAAUAUGAAUUUCACCUGUUGCUUACAAUUUUUAAAAAUUUGCACUUUACAAGUGUGCAUAUUAUACACUUUUGGAGGAUAUGCUUAGUAAUGCUAUAUGUGAUUUUUCUGGAGGUUGAUAACUGCUCAUUCUUUUUAAAGAAAAUCUACCCCAAGCAAAGUUAUGUGCAUACUUCAAAGUAUUCUCCUGUACCUAAAUAGAUAGACAGAUAGAUAGAUAGAUAGAU